GCAGAAGCACAGUGAGCGCUGAGCCUUCGCAGGGUGGCAGCCCCCGCUGCACCCACCCUUGUCUUCUCCUGCCCCAGGUAAGUGCCUCAGCCCAAUGGCAGGGGGAAGGGGGGGCAGGAAAGAGGUGAGGGCUCACUGCACAAGGGUGCCAGGGCCACCAGAUCACCCCCCAGCUCUGCACCAAGAACCACCUGGCUUCCUACUUUCCUGCCAGCUGGCCUUGGCUGCUCCCUUGGGCCGGUUCCCUCUCCCCCCACCAGGGCUUGGGCUCUGGGCCUCUCUACCUCCUUGCCUGGCCUCAUUCUCCUCUUGCCUCUCUCCCUCCAUUUCUUAUUUCCUCUUCCUGCCCUCCCCUUCUUGCCCCUUCCUCAGCCAGUGUUUUUCUUUCUAGUCGCUGCUAGUUUUUCCAAAGGGAAAGAAAAGUCUAGUUUUGUCUUAUCCUUCCUUGAAGGGAAGGGAUUUAGGUUCACCAGUGUGAAUGUGGAUUUGUGUUGAUGUGAGAAUGUGCGUCUGUCUAUGUUUGUGGGCAUGUGUCAGGUCUGUUGAGGCAUACAUGUGUAUGUCCGUGUGAGUACAAGUUUGCAAGCACAUCUGUGGGUUUGCCAGUGUGUCUGUGAGUGUCUGGGUCAUUAUGUGAAUGCAUGUGUCUGUGUGUGAAUGUGAGUUUUUGAGGGUAGGUGUGUGCAUGUUUAUUGGGCACUUUAGUGGUCUACAGCUAGGUAGGAAGAGACCAGGUGGGAGUCUAGCUCUGCCUCCCUUGGGAACAUGAUGGAGGGCUGGGACGCUCCUCAGCGCCGGAGCAAAUGGAUCUAGGGAGGGCGUCCCCACCUGCUUUCCUCCUAGGGCUGGCUGGACCCUUCUGUGGUUGAAGCUUUGAUAGAGGGUCUGAGGCACUGGGAGUGGGUUGCCAGACAGUGGUAAGGUGGCCUCCUUGUUAAUCAAAAGCGGUCCUGAUUUUCCAGAGCUGGUCAGAGGCCCAGCCCAGGGAAGUCCCUGGCUAGGAGGGGCAAGGAGUAGAGAGACCAAGUCACUGUCACAGCAGCUUCUGGGCCAGAGAAGAAUGGAGGGAGAAGUGGAGGGACCCUGGAAGAGGGAGUAUGAGAAAGGACACGGGGUGAGGCUGUAGGAGGAUUGCUCUCUGGGCCCUGUCAGGGCUUCCCAGGAUUAGGAAAUGCCUGUUUCCCGUGGGGCUGCCUCCCUCAGGGGCUGGGCUUGGUUGCCCGCUCCCCACUUCCAGGAGGAUGACAAGGAGCAAGCUUGGAUCCAAACUUAGAUCUGGCUGGACAGCCUGAUCUAAAGACAGGGAGGCCAGAGGGAGAGGAGGUGGACUAGGGGAAGCCUGGGGCUCCCGGGAACCGUGGGAGGUGCCUGGCCACAUAUGCUCUGAGGCCGGGAAUUUCCCCCAGAGUCACUUGGCUCUUUCCUCUUCACCAGUGGCGUCCUAGAAACCCUAGUGAAGCUGGCAGGCCCAGGGCAGCAGCGGAAACAGCUGGGAGGGAGAAGAGGCAAACAGGAAAGACCCUGGAGAAAAAAUCGGGAGAAAUGCCUCCUAGGCCUGGUUCUUCUGAGAACACUUUGGGAGGUCUAGGGCAAGUUCCUCCAUAGCUCUGGGCCCUGGGCUUUGCUGCCUUUAACUCAUUCCAGGCCCUGUGGCACCUCAUUCUUCCUCUCCACUCAGCAUUGGACUCUGCCCUUCGAGUUACUGGUGAAGAAACAGGCAGAGAGGGAAUAUAAGAUGUAAGGGCAGGGCUGUGGCCUGAACCCAGAUCUCUAUGACUCCAGAGCCCGUACCUUAACCCUUACAUGGCAUGCAUAUUCUUAAGGAGGGGCAAAUUGUGAGUCUGAUAUGGUUUAAUUUACCUUAAGGUGCCUAAUGGACAUGAAAACUUCUAGCUCAGAGCUGGCGAUCCAUCCCUCAUGCAGUGAUUGGGGAGGUAGAGAGAAUUAAAAAUGCUUCUGAGGCCAAGGGUGGGAAACAGGGACCAUACAUAGGUUCUGCUCACUUAUUUAUUUCUUAUCAAAAAAUAUGAUUACCUACUACAAUUUCAGUCAACAUCAUGUGCUUGACAUGCAUUUCUCAUUUAACUAUCACUAAAAUCUCUCUCUUGUGUGCACACAUAAUAUCGAAAAGCACCUAGAAUCCACCAUGGGUUUUGUAUUCCCCAGAUUGCCUCAGGCUAUGGAGAUGGAAGACUGGAUGGAAGGAAGGGACCCAGAGCUGGGAUCUCUCUUUUCCUAAUUCAUUAGCUGCUCACCUUGAGUUUCAUUCACCUUUAGCCAAGACCCUAACUCACAAAUUCACCUAAUAGAGUGAGGCUGAGCUUGUUGGCUUUAGAAGCUCCACUUCCCACCAGUGGGGUGUGUGGAGAUAGCAAUGCUCUAGGAGCAGGAGCUAUGGGCUCUAGCCCUCAAUACUAAUCACAAACUCACUGUAAGACCUCCUGCAAGUCCCUACCCCUCUCUGGCCCUCGAUGGCUUUAUUCCUAUGAGAGAAGGGCUGGGUCUGAUCAUUUCUAAACAAGGCUUUAAGGACAAGCAUUUUGAGCUCUGUCUCACUGGCUGGCAAGACUGCAUAAGCAUAAGGCUUAAGAGGGGAAAGAAUUUAGGACUUGUUGCUAAUAUAAGACCUUGGGCAAGUCAUCUAAUACCUCAAAGCCCCAGUUUCAUCUGUGAAAUGGGGAUGACAGUGUUAAUGACCUCAGGGUGGUUGGGAGAUACCGUGUUAUGUCAAAGUGCUGACCUAGCAUACGGCAAAUGCUCUGUAAAUGUUACCUCUUAAUGUUUUUUUUUUUUUUUUUUUUAAGAUUUUAUUCAUUUAUUCAUGAUAGUCACACAGAGAGAGAGAGACAGAGAGGCAGAGACACAGGCAGAAGGAGAAGCAGGCUCCAUGCACCGGGAGCCCGACAUGGGAUUCGAUCCCGGGUCUCCAGGAUCGCGCCCUGGGCCAAAGGCAGGCGCCAAACCGCUGCGCCACCCAGGGAUCCUUCUUAAUGUUUUUAAUAUGCUGCCUCCAUGCCUUUUUAGGCACUUGAUUUAAAGUUCAGUCAGUUACAGGUGAAUUUUUGGUAUGUUUUCUAUUUCCUCCAAAUGUGGACGUAGGUCUAUCUUUGGAGCAUCUUUAGCGGAGGUGGCACCGAGGGAGGGAGUGGCGGAAAGGAGAUAGGGAAGUUGCAUGGUUUAAAACUAAAACAAAAUAAAACAAAACAUAGGCCUUUGAUUCUUCUCCCAGGUGGGGCUUUAUGCAGGUGCUUGUUGUCACUCUGGAAGAGCAAGAAGUUUCCAGCUGCCUGAGUCACUCAGCUCCUGGCUUGCACAUCUUCUUCCAGAUGCAGGGGUGGCAGGGGGUACCAGGCUAGGUGGCCUAUUUCCCACCCUUUCAGGGUCUAGAGGCCUAUAGAGGAUGUGGAUGGUGAUAUGGAACUUAGGGAGGGGGGCAUUCCUGGGUUUACCAGUGAAGUUCUGUCAGGGGCCUGCGAUCCAUGUGUAUACACCACUCUCAUUUCUCGAAUGCCUACUGUGUGCCAAGCUUUGGGCUUUACUUGCAUUAUCUCAUUUAUCCCCAUGAUCAGGGGUAAGAUACAAUUUUCUCCAUUUUUCAGGGAGGAACUGAGGCUUAGGGAGACCACCCAGGUAGCAAGUGGUUGAGUAGGGGUUAGAACCCAAUUAGCUAAAUCCAUAGCCUGUGUUCAUAACGAGCAUUGAGUUUCUGUAGGAAAAAUCAUGACACUGGAAAGACAACAUGGUGCAGUGGAAAGAGCACAUAUGCCUGGAAACCAAGGUCCUGGGUUCCAACCGUGGUGGUAUCAUUCAAUGUGUGUAGCCCUGAAGGAAUCGUUUACUUUAUUUAGGCCUCAGUUUACCUAUAUAUCAAAGAGGGGAAUAAGAACAAUGGUCUGUCUCCAUGGCUUCUAACAUGCCAGGAAGUUCUGAAUUCAAACUAAGACUUGAAAGGGGUGGGUGUGGUCAUGACUUUGAAGAGCUAAGUUUCCUCAUAUGUUGUGUUAAGAAAAAUUAUCCCAAAAUAGGGAAUCAGGCAAAAAAAAAAAAAAAAAAAAAAAAA
rnacentral:lncRNA from 1 species